rnacentral:rRNA from 12 species
GAGCCACCCUUGAGAUACCACCCUUGCCUCGCUUGUUGUCUAACCGCGGUCCGUUAUCCGGAUCCGGGACCCUGUGUGGCGGGUAGUUUGACUGGGGCGGUCGCCUCCUAAAGAGUAACGGAGGCGUGCAAAGGUAAGUUCAGAUUGGAUUUUUUUCAAUUGUAGAGCGCAAUAGUAUAAACUUGCCUGACUGUGAGAUUGACAAAUCAAGCAGGGACGUAAGUCGGCUAUAGUGAUCCGGUGAUUUUAUAUGGACAAAUCAUCGCUCAACGGAUAAAAGGUACGCCGGGGAUAACAGGCUAAUCAUUCCCUAGAGACCUUAUCGACGGAGUGGUUUGGCACCUCGAUGUUGGAUUAUCACAUCCUGGAGCUGUAAGUGGUUCCAAGGGUUUAGCUGUUCGCUAAUGAAGGUGGUACAUGAUCUGAGUUCAGAACGUCGUGAGACAGUUUGGUCCCUAUCUACCGUGAACGUAAAAAAUUAAAAGGUUUAAACCCUAGUACGAGAGGACCGGGAAAAAUAAAUCCAUGGUGUAUCGGUUGUUAUACUCUAUAGCAUUGCCGAGUAGCUACAUUUAUACUAGAUAAUUACUGAAAGCAUUUAAGUAAGAAUCUAACCUUA